UAAGGGCAGGAAAAGAAACUAACCAGGAUUCCCCUAGUAACGGCGAGUGAAGCGGGAACUGCUCAGCUUUAAAAUCUGGCUCUUUCAGAGUCCGAGUUGUGAGCUUGAAGCGUUGCGUCCCCGACGGACCUUGGGUAUAUCAGCUGGAAAGCUGUCUCAGAGAGGGUGACAAGCCCGUUCAUACCAAGGACGCCCGUUGGAGUCUGGCGCAGCUGCUAUAGAGUCGAGUUGUUUGGGAAUGCAGCUCUAAUUGGGUGGUAAACUCCAUCUAAAGCUAAAUAUUGGCGGAAGACCGAUAGCGAACAAGUACCGUGAGGGAAAGAUGAAAAGCACUUUGGAAAGAGAAUGAAACAGUAUGUGAAAUUGCUGGAAGGGAAACGAUUGAGGUUAGACGUGCUUGGCGUGCCUUCAGCCCUUACGGGUGUACUGGCGCGCCGCAGCAGGCCAGCAUCGGUUUGUUGCGUCGGGUAAAAGGGUGGCAGGGACGUGGCUGUCUUCGGACAGUGUUAUAACCUGCCACUGGAUGCCCGGCGUCAGACCGAGGAUCGCAGGGCGCCUUCACAGGUCGCGUCCCCGGACGCUAAGCCCUUAGGAUGCUGGUAGAAUGCUUUAAACGACCCGUCUUGAAACAC
rnacentral:rRNA from 1 species